CCCCCCUUACUAAAAACGGUUCAUCCGACGUGUCCAUUCUGAUGACCAAAAACUCCUUCAUGGUUCUCUCUUUCUCUACCCACCAUAUUUCUUCUCCACUUUUGUCUUUCCAUGGACAUCAAUUUUUCAGAGGAAAAAACACACUAAAAUAAAUAAAAUCUUAUUCCGUGUUUAAUUCCAAGGAAUAAUCAAUGGCCAUGAGUGUUAGCAGUGCAUGUUUCUCAGUUUUCAGUUACAAGAAAGUUAACAGAAGAACAAGGGCUGUUGCUUCUGAGGAUUUCGCUGUUACUCUCAAAACAGAAGACAAGGUGAAGUUAGGAGGGUCAGAGCUCAAAGUGACAAAGCUUGGAAUUGGAGCUUGGUCAUGGGGUGACACCACUUACUGGAACAACUUUGAAUGGGAUGAUAGGAAGAUGAAGGCUGCUAAGGCCGCUUUUGAUGCCAGUGUUGAUUGUGGUAUAACCUUUUUCGAUACAGCUGAAGUUUAUGGCUCUACGCUGUCCUUGGGUGCCAUAAAUUCUGAAACUCUGCUGGGAAGAUUUAUAAAGGAAAGGAAAGAAAAGUAUCCAGAUACGGAAGUUGCUGUUGCAACAAAGUUUGCAGCUUUGCCUUGGAGGUUUGGUCGUCAGAGUGUCCUCAAUGCACUGAAGGAUUCCAUUUGUCGGCUUGGGGUUUCAUCAAUAGAACUUUAUCAACUCCAUUGGCCUGGUGUAUGGGGAAAUGAAGGGUAUAUUGAUGGUCUUGGUGAUGCUGUUGAGCAGGGCCUUGUGAAGGCUGUUGGGGUCUCAAAUUACAAUGAGAGACGACUUCGUGAUGCUUAUGAAAGGCUUAAGAAGAGAGGAAUUCCUCUAGCUUCAAACCAAGUGAAUUACAGUCUCAUAUACAGGGCACCAGAGCAGAAUGGAGUGAAGGCUGCAUGUGAUGAACUUGGGAUCACUUUGAUUGCAUAUUCUCCUAUUGCGCAGGGUGCCCUUACAGGAAAGUAUACACCUGAAAAUCUACCAACAGGGCCUCGAUCCAGGAUUUACACUCCGGAGUUUUUAACUAAGCUCCAACCUCUCGUGAACAGAAUUAAGGAAAUAGGAGAGAACUAUGGCAAAACUCCAACGCAGGUUGUGCUCAACUGGUUAAUAGCCCAGGAGAAUGUUGUGCCAAUCCCAGGAGCCAAAAAUGCAGAACAAGCUGAGGAAUUCACAGGUGCACUUGGGUGGAGACUAAGCAAUGAACAAGUUGAUGAGCUACGGUCACUGGCUUCUGAGAUAAGUCCUGCUAUUGGUUUCCCUCUUGAGAACCUGUGAAUUUUCCGCUUCAUUGAAGAGCGAGUUCAGUCCUGAUUGUCAACCAAUAGUAUCAAUAACAUAUGUCCUAUUAUUGGUUCCCCUGUCUCUUUGUCUGUGCAGACGUGGGCAUUCCAUGCCUACCACAUAUAUAUUUGUUUGUUUAGGUGCAUUGCCUUGCAGCCUUCCACUCCAUUCUUGUCGGAACAAACUUCAGAAAAACGUAGUCAAACAUACUCGAGAUAAGCGAGGAAAACGGAACUUGUUUUAAGAAAGAAGAAGAGGUUGAUGGUAAAAUUAAAAUAGUGGAAGCUGAUGGCAAUCCACAACCGAACAUGUCAAAUUAAGACUUGAGGAUUGGUAAGAAAUGUACAUGCCUGCAAGUUGUCCAUGUCUAUGCUGAAAGUAGAUAGAACUAGGCCUAGAUUCUAUGCCAUUAUAUAAAGCAGUGAGAACACACCAACACCACACCAAGAUACUCUUUAUUCUAACAUGUUUGGUUGGGGGAAAUAGUUAAGUCAUUCUCCCUCUGUUUCAAGGAAUA